UGACCCUACGUCUAAUGGUAGGACGUCAGGUUUUGGAUCUGGAAAUGCGGGUUCGAAACCAGCAGGGUCAACCA
rnacentral:tRNA from 1 species